GAUGAAGAACGUAGCGAAAUGCGAUAAGUAAUGUGAAUUGCAGAAUUCAGUGAAUCAUCGAAUCUUUGAACGCACCUUGCGCCCUUUGGCCAUUCCGAAGGGCAUGCCUGUUUGAGUAUCAUGAACACCUCAACUCUUUAUGGUUUUCCAUGAUGAGCUUGGACUCUGGGGGUUUUGCUGGCUCACAGUCGGCUCCUCUAAAAUGAAUCAGCUUACCAGUGUUUGGUGGGUAUCAUGGGUGUGAUAACUAUCUACGCUUGUGGUUUUUCCACCAGGUAACCUUCAGCAGUGGAGGUUCGCUGGAGCUCACAGAUGUCUCUCCUCAGUGAGGACAGCCCUUUGAAUGUUUGAUCUCAAAUCAGGUAGGACUACCCGCUGAACUUAAGCAUAUCAAUAAGCGGAGGA
rnacentral:misc_RNA from 1 species